rnacentral:rRNA from 1 species
CCUACGGGAGGCAGCAGUAGGGAAUAUUGCUCAAUGGGGGAAACCCUGAAGCAGCAACGCCGCGUGGAGGAUGAAGGUUUUCGGAUUGUAAACUACUUUUGUUAGAGAAGAUAAUGACGGUAUCUAACGAAUAAGCACCGGCUAACUCCGUGCCAGCAGCCGCGGUAAUACGGAGGGUGCAAGCGUUACUCGGAAUCACUGGGCGUAAAGAGCGCGUAGGCGGGUUAGCAAGUCAGAUGUGAAAUCCUAGGGCUUAACCAUAGAACUGCAUUUGAAACUGUUAUUCUAGAGUAUGGGAGAGGUAGGUAGAAUUCUUGGUGUAGGGGUAAAAUCCGUAGAGAUCAAGAGGAAUACUCAUUGCGAAGGCGACCUGCUAGAACAUAACUGACGCUGAUGCGCGAAAGCGUGGGGAGCAAACAGGAUUAGAUACCCCAGUAGUC